rnacentral:tRNA from 1 species
ACUAUUUUGGCAGAAGAAUUGCAUUAAUUUUAGAAGUUAAAUAGAGUAUAUUUAUUAUAUAAGUAGUA